rnacentral:rRNA from 1 species
AGUGAACGCUGGCGGUAGGCCUAACACAUGCAAGUCGAACGGCAGCACAGUAAGAACUUGCUCUUACGGGUGGCGAGUGGCGGACGGGUGAGGAAUACAUCGGAAUCUACUUUUUCGUGGGGGAUAACGUAGGGAAACUUACGCUAAUACCGCAUACGACCUACGGGUGAAAGCAGGGGAUCUUCGGACCUUGCGCGAGUGAAUGAGCCGAUGUCGGAUUAGCUAGUUGGCGGGGUAAAGGCGCACCAAGGCGACGAUCCGUAGCUGGUCUGAGAGGAUCAUCAGCCAGCCUGGAACUGAGGCACGGUCCAGACUCUGACGGGAGGCCGCAGUGGGGAAUAUUGGGCGAUGGAGGCGAGCCUGAUCCAGCCAUACCGCGUGGAUGAAGAAGGCCUUCGGGUUGUAAAGUCCUGUUGUUGGGAAAGAAAAGCAGCAGGUUAAUCCGCCGCUGUUCUGACGGUACCCAAAGAAUAAGCACCGGCUAACUUCGUG